rnacentral:rRNA from 1 species
AACGAACGCUGGCGGCAUGCCUAACACAUGCAAGUCGAACGAUACCUUCGGGUCUAGUGGCGCACGGGUGCGUAACGCGUGGGAACCUGCCCUUAGGUUCGGAAUAACUCCCCGAAAGGGGUGCUAAUACCGGAUAAUGUCUUCGGACCAAAGAUUUAUCGCCUUUGGAUGGGCCCGCGUUGGAUUAGCUAGUUGGUAGGGUAAAAGCCUACCAAGGCGACGAUCCAUAGCUGGUCUGAGAGGAUGAUCAGCCACACUGGGACUGAGACACGGCCCAGACUCCUACGGGAGGAAGCAGUGGGGAAUAUUGGACGAUGGGCGAAAGCCUGAUCCAGCAAUGCCGCGUGAGUGAUGAAGGCCUUAGGGUUGUAAAGCUCUUUUACCCGGGAUGAUAAUGACAGUACCGGGAGAAUAAGCUCCGGCUAACUCCGUG